rnacentral:tRNA from 1 species
GGAGUUGUGGCUCAGUGGUAGAGUACUUGCCUAACAUGUGAGGCCCUGGGUUCGAUUCUCAGCACUCCA